AACAGCGUGGUUUAGUGGUCUGAGUGUUGGACUACAACUCUGGAGACCAGGGUUCUAUUCCCAGCUUAGCCA